ACCGGGAUGGCUGAGUGGUUAAGGCGUUGGACUUAAGAUCCAAUAGAUUUAAGUCUGCGUGGGCUCGAACCCCACUCCCGGUA
rnacentral:tRNA from 1 species